rnacentral:rRNA from 1 species
GUGGGGAAUAUUGCACAAUGGGCGAAAGCCUGAUGCAGCAACGCCGCGUGAGCGAUGAAGGCCUUCGGGUCGUAAAGCUCUGUCCUCAAGGAAGAUAAUGACGGUACUUGAGGAGGAAGCCCCGGCUAACUACGUGCCAGCAGCCGCGGUAAUACGUAGGGGGCUAGCGUUAUCCGGAAUUACUGGGCGUAAAGGGUGCGUAGGUGGUUUCUUAAGUCAGAGGUGAAAGGCUACGGCUCAACCGUAGUAAGCCUUUGAAACUGAGAAACUUGAGUGCAGGAGAGGAGAGUAGAAUUCCUAGUGUAGCGGUGAAAUGCGUAGAUAUUAGGAGGAAUACCAGUUGCGAAGGCGGCUCUCUGGACUGUAACUGACACUGAGGCACGAAAGCGUGGGGAGCAAACAGGAUUAGAUACCCUGGUAGUCCACGCCGUAAACGAUGAGUACUAGCUGUCGGAGGUUACCCCCUUCGGUGGCGCAGCUAACGCAUUAAGUACUCCGCCUGGGAAGUACGCUCGCAAGAG